AUUGAACGCUGGCGGCAGGCCUAACACAUGCAAGUCGAACGGUAACAGGAAGCAGCUUGCUGCUCUGCUGACGAGUGGCGGACGGGUGAGUAAUGUCUGGGAAACUGCCCGAUGGAGGGGGAUAACUACUGGAAACGGUAGCUAAUACCGCAUAACGUCGCAAGACCAAAGAGGGGGACCUUAGGGCCUCUUGCCAUCGGAUGUGCCCAGAUGGGAUUAGCUAGUAGGUGGGGUAACGGCUCACCUAGGCGACGAUCCCUAGCUGGUCUGAGAGGAUGACCAGCCACACUGGAACUGAGACACGGUCCAGACUCCUACGGGAGGCAGCAGUGGGGAAUAUUGCACAAUGGGCGCAAGCCUGAUGCAGCCAUGCCGCGUGUAUGAAGAAGGCCUUCGGGUUGUAAAGUACUUUCAGCGGGGAGGAAGGGAGUAAAGUUAAUACCUUUGCUCAUUGACGUUACCCGCAGAAGAAGCACCGGCUAACUCCGUG
rnacentral:rRNA from 1 species